AGGUGACGGGGGUGCGGCAGAGCACGUGGCCAGGCUGCUCCUCCGGCCCGGGGCGAGCCUCGUGCCUGCGAGCACGUACUCUGUCUCCGGCGGAGACCGGGGGCCGCGCGCCACUGACGCCCGUGUCCGUGCCUUCCUUACAGGGAGAAGGAGCUCGCCAAGGUCACCAUCAAGAAGGAGGACCUGGAGCUGAUCAUGACGGAGAUGGAGAUCUCGCGGGCGGCGGCGGAGCGCAGCCUGCGGGAGCACCUGGGGAAUGUGGUGGAGGCCCUCAUCACCCUCACCAACUGAGCCUGCGCCUGCACCGUGCGGACAGCAGCGGUGGUUGGACACUGUGUGACUGGUGGGAAUAAAGGCACCAUCUGGCCUGG